CAUCAGAGGCAGGUCUAUAUCCAAGGGGACUUUUCUGUCCCCACCUUUCUGACAUUGCUGUCCACUCCCCUUUUCAGACUUCCUUCUCUCCCAGCUCUGUCCCAUCCUCUUGCUUUCAUUCUGCCUCUCUGGCUGCCUCAGUGCUAUGCCGUUCACUGAGUCUCUUCUCCAGUCACCCCUUAAGGCCAGCAUUCAGAGGGCCCUGUCCUCGCCCUUCCAUCUGGCAUGCUUGUUCUCCCCUGCAAGCUUGGUUGCCAGUUUGCUAUUGCUGACUCCCAAGUCUUUCCAGUCUAAACCCACUGCUGAACUCCACACCAGCACGUCGUACUCCUUACUGUACAGCCCACGCCAGCAGCUCAAGGACACCUUGGACUCAACCUGUCCUCCCUGAACUCAAGUUCUUUCCUCCUCACAUGUGCUCCUCCUCUGAUGUGCCCCACCCCAGUGCAGGGCAUCACCCUCCACCCAUCAGCCAAACCAGAGAAUGGUUGGCACGCUGAACUUCUCCCUGCCUUUACACCCCACCUCCGAACUGUCUUCCCACACAGCUCAGAUUCAUUCCAAAUGGCCUAUCUUUUAUGAACCAAUCACUCCUCACCUGGUCAGUGUAAAACGCACAGAAUUUCUUGGACUCUGGCUCCAUCUUAGAGCAGCUCAUCUCUUCCCUCUGCACUGCUGCUGGAGUCAGCUUCCUAUAACCCUAAUGUGACCCUCUCACUUUACCUGGCCAGGACUCCCUUCCCCAAGCCAGCCUCUGCCUCCGUCUGCCUUCCUUCACAUAGGAGAUCCCUAUGUGACUUCCAGAGACUCCUGGAGACAAGGGAAGGCGUGCCCUGAUUCUGUGGGAGGCCCGGAAGGAGCUGGUGCAGGCUGUGUGUGUCACAGUAUUGGGUGACAACAGGAGCAGCUCACCAGUCUUGUUCUGAGGAAGAGGCUGAAGAUGGAGGGAUACAUUCCCCAUCUAUUUACUCACCAGCUGUGCCUUGGUUCAAGGCAAAUUUUAUGUAGAAUAUAAAAUGCUAUUACAGGAUAAGUGUCAUAAGGUUUUAUUCAAGAUUUCCAAUGUCGUAACUUUUAAUUUUAUAAUAACAGAUAUUUUAAAUAUUUUAAUCAACUGAAUAACAUAAUAACAUAUAACUGUAAUGUGUUAUAUAUUUUGUCAUCACAUAUAAUUACAUAACAAAUUUGUCAAUUGAACAGAAUAAAGAAUCCAGAAAUAGAUCUACACAUAUUUGGCAAAUUGAUUUUGACAAAGGUGUGAAGGCAAUUCAAUGGCAAAGUAAGUGUCUCUUUAUUUUAAUUGCAUUUUAGGUUUGAGGGUACAUGUGAAGAACAUGCAAGAUUGUUGCAUAGGACAUUUUAAAUGAUGUAUCUUAUUACUUUUGCCAAAAAAACUGUACAUCUUUUAUUCAGUGACAUCCUAGAUUCAAUGAAAUAUGUACACAUACUAAUGCAGCCAAGACCCAGUUGCAACAAAACUAUAUCUACAGAUUCAUCAGGUUGCUAAUUAUAUCAUGUUUUCUUUCUUUUUUUUCUGGAAAUUAGAAAUACGAUUAUAAAAUGUAGGUGGGGACACAGGUAAACUAAAAUACAUUAGCAGAAUCCAAGAUAUUUGUGUUACAUGUCAUUAUCUCUUAGAGGUAACACUGCCAUCUUUACCUCUACCCUCUGUAGACAGUUUUAAACAUUUAAACAGAUGAAGUU